GAGAGGUCUUACUGUCUUAUUUCAGAUCUU
rnacentral:piRNA from 1 species